UCCCUUAGUAACUGCGAGUGAAGUGGGAAAAGCUCAAAUUUGAAAUCUGGCAGUCUUUUUUUUCUCCUUUGGCUGUCUGAGUUGUAAUCUANAGAAGUGCUUAUCUGUACUGGGCCAUGUACAAGUCUCCUGGAAUGGAGCAUCAUAGAGGGUGAGAAUCCUGUCUUUGACAUGGACUGCCAGUAUAUUGUGGUGUGCUCUCAAAGAGUUGAGUUGUUUGGGAAUGCAGCUCUAAUAAUGGGUGGUAAACUCCAUCUAAAGCUAAAUAUUGGCGAGAGACCGAUAGUGAACAAGUACCGUGANGGAAAGANGAAAAGGACUUUGNGAAAGAGAGUUAAAAAGUAUGUGAAAUUGUUGAAAGGGAAAUGNUUGAGGUCAGUUGUGCCAAGAUAGGGAUCAAUCUAGUUUUUUUCUGGGUGAAUUCUCUNGUNUGACNNGCCAACAUCANUUUUGAMUGCUAGANAAGGGNAGAGGGAAUGUGGCANCCUUGGGUGUGNNUAUAGCCUUCUGUUGGAUGUGGCAGUUGGGANUGANGGAAUGCAGCMUGCUGUGAAANCUGGGUUUUGACCNCCUUCNUGCUUAGGAUGUUGGCAUUUAAUGGCUUCCAUCGACCCNUCUUGAAACMCGGACCAMGGAGUNUAACAUGCCUGCAAGUGUUUGGGUGGUUAAAACCCUUGUNCACAAUGAAAGUGAAAGCUGAGAAUCCUNGUCUGGNGGNNCAUUGGCGNCCGGCCUUGAGCNUUUUUAGCAAUGGAUCUGUGGUAGAGCAUGCAUGUUGGGACCCGAAAGAUGGUGAACUAUGCCUGAAUAGGGCAAAGCCAGAGGAAACUCUGGUGGAGGCUCGUAGCGAUUCUGACGUGCAAAUCGAUCGUCGA
rnacentral:rRNA from 1 species